rnacentral:rRNA from 1 species
UACGGAGGGGGCUAGCGUUGUUCGGAAUUACUGGGCGUAAAGCGCACGUAGGCGGCUUUGUAAGUUAGAGGUGAAAGCCUGGGGCUCAACUCCAGAAUUGCCUUUAAGACUGCAUCGCCUGAAUCAUGGAGAGGCGAGUGGAAUUCCGAGUGUAGAGGUGAAAUUCGUAGAUAUUCGGAAGAACACCAGUGGCGAAGGCGGCUCGCUGGACAUGUAUUGACGCUGAGGUGCGAAAGCGUGGGGAGCAAACAGG